AGGACGAACGCUGGCGGCGUGCCUAAUACAUGCAAGUAGAACGCUGAAGAGAGGAGCUUGCUCUUCUUGGAUGAGUUGCGAACGGGUGAGUAACGCGUAGGUAACCUGCCUUGUAGCGGGGGAUAACUAUUGGAAACGAUAGCUAAUACCGCAUAACAAUGGAUGACACAUGUCAUUUAUUUGAAAGGGGCAAUUGCUCCACUACAAGAUGGACCUGCGUUGUAUUAGCUAGUAGGUGAGGUAAUGGCUCACCUAGGCGACGAUACAUAGCCGACCUGAGAGGGUGAUCGGCCACACUGGGACUGAGACACGGCCCAGACUCCUACGGGAGGCAGCAGUAGGGAAUCUUCGGCAAUGGGGGCAACCCUGACCGAGCAACGCCGCGUGAGUGAAGAAGGUUUUCGGAUCGUAAAGCUCUGUUGUAAGUCAAGAACGGGUGUGAGAGUGGAAAGUUCACACUGUGACGGUAGCUUACCAGAAAGGGACGGCUAACUACGUGCCAGCAGCCGCGGUAAUACGUAGGUCCCGAGCGUUGUCCGGAUUUAUUGGGCGUAAAGCGAGCGCAGGCGGUUUGAUAAGUCUGAAGUUAAAGGCUGUGGCUCAACCAUAGUUCGCUUUGGAAACUGUCAAACUUGAGUGCAGAAGGGGAGAGUGGAAUUCCAUGUGUAGCGGUGAAAUGCGUAGAUAUAUGGAGGAACACCGGUGGCGAAAGCGGCUCUCUGGUCUGUAACUGACGCUGAGGCUCGAAAGCGUGGGGAGCGAACAGGAUUAGAUACCCUGGUAGUCCACGCCGUAAACGAUGAGUGCUAGGUGUUGGAUCCUUUCCGGGAUUCAGUGCCGCAGCUAACGCAUUAAGCACUCCGCCUGGGGAGUACGACCGCAAGGUUGAAACUCAAAGGAAUUGACGGGGGCCCGCACAAGCGGUGGAGCAUGUGGUUUAAUUCGAAGCAACGCGAAGAACCUUACCAGGUCUUGACAUCCCGAUGCUAUUUCUAGAGAUAGAAAGUUACUUCGGUACAUCGGUGACAGGUGGUGCAUGGUUGUCGUCAGCUCGUGUCGUGAGAUGUUGGGUUAAGUCCCGCAACGAGCGCAACCCCUAUUGUUAGUUGCCAUCAUUCAGUUGGGCACUCUAGCGAGACUGCCGGUAAUAAACCGGAGGAAGGUGGGGAUGACGUCAAAUCAUCAUGCCCCUUAUGACCUGGGCUACACACGUGCUACAAUGGUUGGUACAACGAGUUGCGAGUCGGUGACGGCGAGCUAAUCUCUUAAAGCCAAUCUCAGUUCGGAUUGUAGGCUGCAACUCGCCUACAUGAAGUCGGAAUCGCUAGUAAUCGCGGAUCAGCACGCCGCGGUGAAUACGUUCCCGGGCCUUGUACACACCGCCCGUCACACCACGAGAGUUUGUAACACCCGAAGUCGGUGAGGUAACCUUUUGGAGCCAGCCGCCUAAGGUGGGACAGAUGAUGGGGUGAAGUC
rnacentral:rRNA from 1 species